rnacentral:ncRNA from 2 species
UUUCCGGCUGUAUCUUUGGUAUUCUAGCUGUAGAAUGUUGUUUUCAUUGUAAUAUCUCUAAAGCUUUAGUACCAGAGGUCCAACUGGGAA